rnacentral:rRNA from 1 species
AUUGAACGCUGGCGGCAGGCCUAACACAUGCAAGUCGAACGAGUGGCGGACGGGUGAGUAAUGUCUGGGAAACUGCCCGAUGGAGGGGGAUAACUACUGGAAACGGUAGCUAAUACCGCAUACUAUCAGAGGGACCCAGAUGGGAUUAGCUAGUUGGUGGGGUAACGGCUCACCUAGGCGACGAUCACUAGCUGGUCUGAGAGGAUGACCAGCCACACUGGUACUGUGACACGGUCCAGACUCCUGCGGGAGGCAGCAGUGUGGAAUAUUGCACAAUGGGCGCAAGCCUGAUGCAGCCAUGCCGCGUGUAUGAAGCAGGCCUUCGGGUUGUAAAGUACUUUCAGCGGGGAGGCGUUACCCGCAGAAGAAGCACCGGCUAACUCCGUGCCAGCAGCCGCGGUAAUUC